CUGAACUCAAAUUUACUCCGUCCGAGCACAUGUGAGCUCCUGGGAUACCUGAAGUUUCGUCUCAGGACAGCUGCAGGAUAAGUCCCCUUUCUUGUAGGGGGUGAGGGCGCUAGUAUAUAAGUUGGUGAGCAUGGCACAGAGGACGGAGUAUGGAUCACGGCGCAUAGCGUCAUUGACCGCAGACACCAAGUUUGACUUGAAC